AUUGAACGCUGGCGGCAGGCCUAACACAUGCAAGUCGAACGGUAACAGGAAGAAGCUUGCUUCUUUGCUGACGCGUGGCGGACGGGUGAGAAAUGUCUGGGAAACUGCCUGAUGGAGGGGGAUAACUACUGGAAACGGUAGCUAAUACCGCAUAACGUCGCAAGACCAAAGAGGGGGACCUUCGGGCCUCUUGCCAUCGGAUGUGACCAGAUGGGAUUAGCUAGUAGGUGGGGUAACGGCUCACCUAGGCGACGAUCCCUAGCUGGUCUGAGAGGAUGACCAGCCACACUGGAACUGAGACACGGUCCAGACUCCUACGGGAGGCAGCAGUGGGGAAUAUUGCACAAUGGGCGCAAGCCUGAUGCAGCCAUGCCGCGUGUAUGAAGAAGGCCUUCGGGUUGUAAAGUACUUUCAGCGGGGAGGAAGGGAGUUAAGUUAAUACCUUUACUCAUUGACGUUACCCGCAGAAGAAGCACCGGCUAACUCCGUG
rnacentral:rRNA from 1 species